UACGGAGGGUGCGAGCGUUGUCCGGAAUCACUGGGCGUAAAGGGCGCGUAGGCGGCCUGAUAAGUAGGGGGUGAAAUCCUGCGGCUUAACCGCAGGGCUGCCUUCUAAACUGUCAGGCUCGAGCACAGUAGAGGCAGGUGGAAUUCCCGGUGUAGCGGUGAAAUGCGUAGAUAUCGAGAGGAACACCUGCGGCGAAGGCGGGUUGCUGGGCUGACACUGACGCUGAGGAGCGAAAGCGUGGGGAGCGAACAGG
rnacentral:rRNA from 1 species